GAGCGCACUUUAAUGUGACUCUUUGUAUCAACAUUACCACCCAACCCAGAGGUGCAUUGUGGCCUUUAACGAGGUUAGCAGUGUAUCAGUACGUAUCCCAAAGGCAACUUUGAGUUACAUUACCCAUCAUUUACCCCCAUUUACACUUAAGAAGUUUUAAGAAUGAUACCCAUACCUAUAUAACUUUCAGCAAUGGAUCUCUAGGCUCUCACGUCGAUGAAGAACACAGUGAAAUGUGAUACGUAAUGUGAAUUGCAGAAUUCAGUGAAUCAUCGAAUCUUUGAACGCACCUUGCACCUUUUGGUUAUUCCGAAAGGUACACCUGUUUGAAUGUCACRAAACCCCCCUCGGCUCUAAUGCUUUCUAAAAGGAUUUGAGACGGAUUCUGAGUGUUGGCGUGAUCACGCCUCGCUUCAAAUAGAUCAGCACUUUUGGAUGGUUGAAUAUUAGUUUGAAAGACGUACUUGAUGUUGUAUUUAUAUUUCGUUGAGGCAGUCUUUGGUCGUUCCGACUAUCCGCUAAUAUGAAGACUUGAAGAAUAGCUUCCUAACCCUAUGAAUUAACCUU
rnacentral:rRNA from 1 species